GUCCCUAUGGGGGCGGCGGCCCAUCAUUGGGGUUGGGGGCCCUAUGGGGUCGCUGUCCCUAUGGGGCGGGGGUCCCUAUGGGGUCCCUAUGGGGCGGGGGUCCCUAUGGGGCGGGGGUGCCUAUGGGGUCCCUUUGGGGGUCCCUAUGGGGCGGGGGUCCCUAUGGGGUCCCUAUGGGGUGGGGUCUCUAUGGGGUGGGGGUCCCUAUGGGAUCAGAUCCCAUUGUGUGUGGGGUCCCUAUGGGGUCCCUAUAGCGUCUCCACGGGGUCCCUAUGGGGUGGGAGUCCAUUUCAGGUCCCUAUGGGGUUGGGGUCUCUAUGGGGUGGGUGUCUCUAUGGCCUGGGGGUCUCUAUGGGGUCCCUAUGGGAUGGAGGUCUCUAUGGGGUCUCUAUGGGGUCCCUAUGGGGUGGGGGUCCAUUUCAGCUCCCUAUGAGGUUGGGGUCCCGAUGGGGUUGGGGUCCCUAUGGGAUGGAGGUCUCUAUGGGGUCCCUAUGGGGUGGGGGUCCAUUUCAGCUCCCUAUGGGGUCCCUAUGGGGUGGGGGUCCAUUUCAGCUCCCUAUGGGGUCCCUAUGGGGUUGGGGUCCCUAUGGGGUCCCUAUGGGGUGGGGGUCCCUAUGGGGUCCCUAUGGGGUUCGGCUCCCUAUGGGGUCCCUAUGGGGUUGGGGUCCCUAUGGGGUCCCUAUGGGGUCCCUACGGGGUCCCUAUGGGGUUGGGGUCCCUAUGGGGUCCCUAUGGGGUUCGGGUCCCUAUGGAGUCCCUAUGGGGUUGGGGUCCCUAUGGGGUCCCUAUGGGGUGGGGGUCCAUUUCAGCUCCCUAUGGGGUCCCUAUGGGGUCCCUAUGGGGUUGGGGUCCCUAUGGGGUCCCUAUGGGGUGGGGGUCCAUUUCAGCUCCCUAUGGGGUCCCUAUGGGGUCCCUAUGGGGUUGGGGUCCCUAUGGGGUCCCUAUGGGGUGGGGGUCCCUAUGUGUGUCCCCCGCGGUCCCUAUAGGCUCCCAUUAUACCCCCCUCCCCCUUCCCCCCC
ensembl:lncRNA